rnacentral:pre_miRNA from 1 species
UAGGUUUGAGAGUGAUGCUGGUUGUUGACAGAAGAUAGAGAGCACUAAGGAUGACAUGCAAGUACAUAUGUAUGUAUCAUCACACCGCCUGUGGAUGAUUACAAAAAUAAAACCAAUUCAAAAGAGAGAGAGAGAGAGCCUGCAUGUCUACUCUUUCGUGCUCUCUAUACUUCUGUCACCACCAUUAUUUCUUCUUCUUUCUUACCUA